CGAUGAUACCGAAAGAAUGAUAUUUAAAUCCAAAUAAAAGAAUAGGUAUUGGUAAUAACGGAUACUAAAAAUAUACGAUUAUAAAUAUCAAUAAAAAUGAUAUAUCUGUACAAAGUAAAACAUCAAAAAUAUCAAAAUCCAAGGAAAUCUCAAAAACAAAAGCUCAAACACAUUAAUGAAGGGAAAACAUCUGUCAUAUUCUUGCAUUAGUACAGGCAUAACCUGGUGUAGUAGGGCACCGGACGUUUGCGCUUUUUUUUAACCUGUAAAACGAUAGGACACUUGCGCUUCAAAUACUAUAGACAUUUGCGCUUUAAAUUUUGACUCACCCGAAUUAAUUUGACCGGACAUUUGCGCUUUUCAAGUUAUUCUAGUAUUCUAGUCGACUUCCUGUAAUUUGACAAAAAGUAAUACAUUUAAUUUAUAUUUGUCAUUAGUACGACAAAUGGUCCAGAAUCCUUCCAUGCCCACUAUGAUGAACAGUUCUACUCGACCCAUCCUGCGUUACUUUAAAAACAUUUUUUUUUGGAGAGUAUCAUUCAAUUUGAACAACAGUCGGUGAACUACUUUAAGAUUCGUUACAUUGAUGAACAGGCACCCCGGUCUAGAAUUGAGAAAGAGAAACUUGAUUAUUUAUUUGAAAUGUGGGCGAAAUACCAGUCAGAAUAGAUUGUCAUUAUCAUUCAGUCACGUCUCAGUCCUUACCGCUGAAAUGACGUGCUGGAUCAGCUCCUGAUUACCCGUUGGCUACAACAUGUUACGCUGCUCAGAUGGUUCAACGACAAACUAGUAAGUUUGAGACGUCCCUUACAGUGAACCCGCGUCAGCGACGCUCUGAAACCCAUUGUAGAUUGGUGAGUUACAUAAGCUGCCCAGACGCCCGAGGGCUAUGUGUAUCGUGGUUUUACAAUUGUAAACUGUACCAUUGCAGUCAUCUACUACAGAGGCAAUGAUUUAUCUACCAACAACACAUCGUCGUGGUUAGCGGUUAAUCCAGUCAAGGUCGUUAAACACUUCCAUCCUCAACUCCUUGGGCUUCUGUUAUGAAGCUGAACUGACCUGUGAUGACUACACAUGUUUUUUUGUCCUUAUAGUGUUAACUGUUAGCUGUAUAUACACUUUAAAACACAUAUCAAUGUGCUAUGAAAUGUGCUAUGAAACAAUAUUUUUCAAAUUUUAAUCAUUAAGAAAAAUAUGAUUUUAGCUGUUUAAGGUCAAACCUGACGGUCCCAAGCCCAGAUAAAAGGAGAAGAUAGUCAUAUUAACCAAAUAUUGCAAAAGCGCAAAUGUCCUAUUAUUUGAGACGCAAGUGUCCAAAAUAAAAAGCGCGAAUGACCAAUGAAAAAGAGCAAACGUCCCGCGCCGGUGUAGAAACUUGUGGCAAAAUGCUGAUUUAAUAAAGCUAUUAAAUUCCGUUAUUUUGACAACAAUGUGUGAACAUAAAAAACAGACAUAAUAGGUAUAAAUGUUAAAAACAAGGAGUACAGCAGUCAACAUUGUGUUAUAAUCUCUAUUACUAUAAAACUAUAUGAUACAUAUCAUGGAUAUAUUGUCAAAAAUAAACAAACCAGUGAAGCAUAUUAAUAAACCUAAAAAAUAUCAAAUGGUCGCUCUCUUAUUUUAUAUUUCACAACCAUCCUAUCCACCUUUUUUCUAAUAUAAAACUUUGUGUCGUUUGACUUAUUAAGGUUCUUAUUCAAUACAUAGGUUUAGUUAAACAGGCAAACAUUUAGUGUAUUGAGCAUUAUUUUAUACUUCAUAUCAGUUGUAGUCUUUGUUAAAUUUUGUUUUCAUAAUAGUGCACAGUUGAUAACUUUUGUCCGAUGUCAAAGGAAAAUUAGA
rnacentral:lncRNA from 1 species